CCUACGGGUGGCUGCAGUGAGGAAUAUUGGUCAAUGGGAGGAAUCCUGAACCAGCCAUGCCGCGUGCAGGACGACGGCUCUACGAGUUGUAAACUGCUUUUGUACCGGGGUAAAAUGCUCUACGAGUAGGGUUUUGAAAGUACGGUACGAAUAAGGAUCGGCUAACACCGUGCCAGCAGCCGCGGUAAUACGGAGGAUCCGUGCGUUAACCGGAUUCCUUGGGUUGAAAAGGGGCGUAGGUUGUUUUAUACGGUAGCGGUGAAAUACCGAUGCUCAACAUCGGGGCUGGCGCUAAUACUGUAGGACUAGAGAGCGGAUGCAGCAGGCGGAAUGUGUAGGGUAGCGGUGAAAUGCAUAGAUAUUACACAGAACACCGAGUGCGAAGGCAGCUUGCGAGGCCGGAUCUGACACUGAUGCACGAAAGCGUGGGGAUCGAACAGGAUUAGAUACCCCAGUAGUC
rnacentral:rRNA from 1 species